UACAGAGGAAGCCACAUCACUGCAUGACAUUAUUGCGGCGGCCAUUUUGGCCCCAGCAAAGUGGGGUGCACCUAAAAUAAAUCACACCGCUACAGCUGCCAUACUUCAGAAGAAACAGGAGUUAGUCAUUUCGAUCCUCCUGCAGCUACUGUACCAGGAAGAUGGGCAGCUGGAACUUGUCGUUGAGCACCACGGCGUGAACGCUGCAGGGUCCGCAGAGCCGGGCGGUGAUCUCAUUCAGGAAGUUGGCGUGGAAGAUGAAGAGGAGGAUGCCCGAGCCUGGAGGAGGGGGGAAGGACAGAGCUGAACUCCAGCGAGAAGUCGGGGCCCUCACAGAGCCGGUGGCAGGCGAGAGGGAAGACGGGCUCCAGCAGCACCAGGCGAGACUCAAAGAACGCUCUGAUGGCGUCCUCUGCUACACUGGAGAGCCUGAGAGACGCAGAAACAAACCGAGUGAGAAUACAGGAUGAAAACACCAAAACUAAGGGAGUCUAUAAACUGCUGUGAAACCAAAUGUCCCUGGCAAGGCUGUACUGAGUCAAGUUUAGCACUCCUGUUAUACCUGGUGCUUAUUGCUCAGUAUUUGUAAUAUUAUUAGCAUUCUAGUGUUUGUCUCUCCCGUCCAGCUGCAGACUCACAUGCUGAUGUGGUCCUUGAUCAGGUCGCACACCAUCAGGUUGUUGCCGAGCUUGGCGAAGUACAUGGCAGCGGUCUUGUUUUUGGACAUGAUGUUGCAGUCAGCUCCGUAUUCCAGCAGGAGGCGCACUACGUCAGCAUUCCCUCUUUUGCAAGCCUGGAGUGAAGGAGAGUAAAUAUAUACUGAAAGUCCCACUUACAGACCCUACUACUGUCAAUCACUCAGGAUAAGAUGCCUUACAGGAGCCUUCAAUCUGCAUGUUUCAUCACCUUUACUUUCAUUUAAACCGUUUUUAGAUGCAGUCAGAAAAGAGUAAAUGAUGUUUCCCAUUGGUCUGACUGCUAAAAACAUGUCAAGCUACCUGGUUUUUAAAAUUUGAUUGCAAACUUGGUAAAUAAAUAGCCUAAGUAAUGAAUCAAAAUGAUAAUAAAUGAUAAACAAAAUCAACAGUAAUCAUAUUACUUAUAAUUGACUAUGUAUGCUUAAUAAUUUACAUUUCCAAAUGAACUAUAGUACAUUGAAAAUGUGGGUUGUUUUAGUUCUGAGUGUGUGUGUGUGUAUGUGUGUGAAAUGCAGCAUUACCUUCAUCAGGGCCGUCUCCCCACUGAGUGUCUGAGCGUUGACGUAGGAGCCCGCCUCCAG